UCAUAAUAACUUCUCGAAAUCGUAUGGCCUUGUUUGUUGGCGAUGCUUCAUUCAAAUAUCUGCCCUAUCAACUUUCGAUGGUAGGAUAGAGGCUACCAUGGUUUCAACGGGUAACGGGGAAUAAGGGUUCGAUUCCGGAGAGGGAGCCUGAGAAACGGCUAACACAUCCAAGGAAGGCAGCAGGCGCGCAAAUUACCAAUCCCGACACGGGGAGGUAGUGACAAUAAAUAACAAUAUAGGGCCCUUUUGGGUCUUAUAAUUGGAAUGAGUACAAUUUAAAUCCCUUAACGAGGAACAAUUGGAGGGCAAGUUCUGGUGCCAGCAGCCGCGGUAAUUCCAGCUCCAAUAGCGUAUAUUAAAGUUGUUGCAGUUAAAAAAGCUCGUAAGUUGAACUUCAGACCUGGCUGGGAUGGUCUGCCUAACGGUACGUACUUGUCCGGCUGGGCCUUUACCUCUUGGUGGAGGCCGGCAUGCCCUU
rnacentral:rRNA from 1 species